rnacentral:rRNA from 1 species
CCCUUAGAUGUUCUGGGCCGCACGCGCGCUACACUGAGCCCUUCAUCGAGUUUACAACCUUGGCCGGUAGGUCUGGGUAAUCUUCUCAAAGGGGCUCGUGCUGGGGAUAGAUUAUUGUAAUUUUUAAUCUUCAACGAGGAAUUCCUAGUAAACGCAAGUCAACAGCUUGCAUUGAUUACGUCCCUGCCCUUUGUACACACCGCCCGUCGCUACUACCGAUUGAAUGGCUUAGUGAGCCCGAGGGACUGUUGCACCUAGAGGAUUUUCUCUCCAGGAGCAGCCGGGAACUCGGUCAAACUUGAUCAUUUAGAGGAAGUAAAAGUCGUAACA